CUUUCACUUGUACAAAGAAGCUUUGUUGCCAAGAUUUACUCUGAAAAUGACCUACACUACUGACUGCAGCUGUCUGCAAAUGUAGAAGCCGAUAAAUGGUAUCUCCUUCCCUCCCUUGACUUUCCUGUUUCCUGUGGAAUAUAUACUUAUAAGUAUUUUUAAAAUUAGACCUCUGUUGAAGACAUUUGGAUUAUAACUGUGAGCAUAUCUAUGCAAAGAGACGAGCCAGCCUGAGCAAUUUUGAGUUUUGUUCAGUGGAGGGACUGCUGUAUGUCAGCCAUGCUAAAGGGCAAGUGAUGGAGGCAAGUACUAGUUUAUAUAUUCAGUUAUCUAAUAUUGUUUUUGCCAGUUUCUCCUUUUGAACUGUUUUGUUUCCCAGUGCUGCUGUGAAAUAAUUGCACAAAUGAAGGACUAUAUUAGCAUGUUCUGGGAUGUAAUAAUGUUAUAACGUCUGUUCAGUGUGACUGUAUAUGGAAUUGUGAAUUUUGUUUCUGAUAUAUUGUAUUCUUGUACGAAUAAGAAAUGUAUGUUUUUGAACUUCAUGCUAUAAAGUACUCCAUUUCCUCCCUCAAACAGAAUAUAAAGGUUGUUACAAGUGUGGGGGGAAAAAACAAGCACAAAACUUGAAUGCAAAUAAAUGUGCUAAUUAAUUCUG